GCCUGGGUGGCUCAUUUGGUUGAGCGUCUGACUUCAGCUCAGGUCAUGAUCUCAUGAUUCGUGGGUUCGAUUUCCACGUCGGGCU
rnacentral:tRNA from 1 species